GUGCAUUCUGGCUUCUUGCCAAAGAACCAUAGAAUUUGUGCAUCCCAACUCAACUACUAAAUAACUAUCCAAUUACACAUGCAUCCACCAAAAAGUUUUAUUUUCCCUUAGAAUAUUGCUGCAAAGCUACACAUGUUAAUUGUUAAGUAAUAAUUUUGGCUCAGGGACUCUUUAGUGCAAACACCCUUGUAUCAUUGUGUUUAGCCUCAAGUGAAGUUCCUGUGUGGUUCAACAAUCAAGGCUCGGGGUCUUCAUUAGAAGUGCAGCUACCUCCUUAUUGGUUGAAUUACGGAUGGGGAGGAUUCUUUUUAUCUGGAGUUUUUAGAUUCCAUCAUGAUCAGCCUCCUUCAGUGGAUACUUGUACUGUUGCCUGUGACUUGCAUGCAUACAAUUAGCCGUCAGAACAAAGUUUGUUUCUAGGUCGC
rnacentral:misc_RNA from 1 species